UGAGCGACACGUGUCCAAAAACACCUCUUCUUUCUUACUGACGUGGAAGGCUGUGCGCAGAGCACAAGCUUACUUUAUAUAUAUUAGAUAUGUAGUGGACAUUCAAUACAAAUAGUACGCUCAUUAUAAUUAUGGUCUAUGAUAUGUUUUCCUUAUCAUAUAAGCAUAACUAUAUAUUAACGCAGAAUAAUACAUAUACUUUUCUAUUGGUUGGUCAAUUCGUUGGUUAAUAUUCAUGCAUAUUCUUAUAGUUCGUGGAAUGAAUGACUCCAAAUCGCAGCUAUACGUUGAAGUUUCAAACAUGAAACAUGAAAAACAGAAUAAAAGAUCUAAGUAAACAAAUGGGUUCACUAUUAUAAGCAAAUUCUCUCAUUAAUGACUGUGCUGAACAUGUAAAUUUGUAUAAAAGAUUAU
rnacentral:lncRNA from 1 species